AUUGAACGCUGGCGGCAGGCCUAACACAUGCAAGUCGAACGGUAACAGGAAACAGCUUGCUGUUUCGCUGACGAGUGGCGGACGGGUGAGUCAUGUCUGGGAAACUGCCUGAUGGAGGGGGAUAACUACUGGAAACGGUAGCUAAUACCGCAUAACGUCGCAAGACCAAAGAGGGGGACCCUCGGGCCUCUUGCCAUCGGAUGUGCCCAGAUGGGAUUCGCUUGUUGGUGGGGUAACGGCUCACCAAGGCGACGAUCCCUAGCUGGUCUGAGAGGGUGACCGGCCACACUGGAACUGAGACACGGUCCAGACUCCUACGGGAGGCAGCAGUGGGGAAUAUUGCACAAUGGGCGCAAGCCUGAUGCAGCCAUGCCGCGUGUAUGAAGAAGGCCUUCGGGUUGUAAAGUACUUUCAGCGGGGAGGAAGGGAGUAAAGUUAAUACCUUUGCCCAUUGACGUUACCCGCAGAAGAAGCACCGGCUAACUCCGUG
rnacentral:rRNA from 1 species